rnacentral:rRNA from 1 species
AGUGAACGCUGGCGGUAGGCCUAACACAUGCAAGUCGAACGGCAGCACAGUAAGAGCUUGCUCUUACGGGUGGCGAGUGGCGGACGGGUGCGGAAUACAUCGGAAUCUACUUUUUCGUGGGGGGUAACGUAGGGAAACUUACGCUAAUACCGCAUACGACCUACGGGUGAAAGCAGGGGAUCUUCGGACCUUGCGUGAUUGAAUGAGCCGAUGUCGGAUUAGCUAGUUGGCGGGGUAAAGGCCCACCAAGGCGACGGUCCGUAGCUGGUCUGAGAGGAGGAUCAGCCACACUGGAACUGAGACACGGUCCAGACUCCUACGGGAGGCAGCAGUGGGGAAUAUUGGACAAUGGGCGCAAGCCUGAUCCAGCCAUACCGCGUGGGUGAAGAAGGCCUUCGGGUUGUAAAGCCCUUUUGUUGGGAAAGAAAAGCAGCAGGUUAAUACCCCGCUGUUCUGACGGUACCCAAAGAAUAAGCACCGGCUAACUUCGUG